rnacentral:lncRNA from 1 species
UUAGAGUACAUGAAUAAGGAAUUCAGGUGAUGGAACUGAAAAGGAAGCCAACUCUAGAAUAAUUGAACAAGCCUUGCUCAAGGCUAGUGUCAAGCUCAUAAAGCGUAGUCGUGUGUUAUCAAUCGAUCGCUUCUAUGCAGGAGGCACAGUACUGUGCUAUCCCAACACGGUCGUGUGACAUCAACACACUUGCCUUGUCCAUAAGGCAUGGUUGUGCAGUAUCAUCAU